rnacentral:rRNA from 1 species
ACGAACGUUGGCGGCGUGCUUAAUACAUGCAAGUCAACUGAAGCAGUGGUAGCAAUAUCGCUGUGGAGGUGGCGCACGGGUGAGUAACACGUAGGUAAUCUGCCUUCAGGUCUGGCAUAACUCCGGUAAACCGGGGCUAAUAGCAGAUGAUGCAGCGGCUCGACAUCGAGACAGUUGUUAAAGCUAUGGCGCCUGAAGAUGAGCCUGCGUCUGAUUAGCUAGUUGGCGGGGUAACGGCCCACCAAGGCAACGAUCAGUAGCUGGUCUGAGAGGAUGAUCAGCCACACUGGAACUGAGACACGGUCCAGACUCCUACGGGAGGCAGCAGUAAGGAAUAUUGCUCAAUGGGAGAAAUCCCGAAGCAGCAACGCCGCGUGAGGGACGAAGGGCUUUUGCUUGUAAACCUCUGUAGUGAGAGAAAAAAAUCCCAAUCUUUGGGACAUGAUGGUAUCUCAAAAGUAAGCCCCGGCUAACUACGUG